rnacentral:lncRNA from 1 species
UAAUAAAUCCUGUUGUCAUUCCCGUAGCUCUGCUCUACGUAGUGAAAUCAUAGAUAAUUUUGGUUUUAGUUUUGUUUUUGGCUGGGCGCACAGCAUAUGGAAGUUCCCGGACCAGGGAUUGAACCUACACCACAGCAGCAACCCAAGCUACUUCAAUAACAAUACCAGAUCCUUAAUCCACUGCACCACAAGGGAGCCCUUAAUUUUUUGUUUGUUUGUUUUUAGGGCCGCACCCAAGGCAUGUGGAAGUUCCCAGACUAGGGGUGGAAUUGGAGCCAUAGCUGCUGGCCUACAUUACAGCUCACAGCAAUGCUGGAUCCUUAACCCACUGAGCAGGACCAGAGAUCGAACCUGCAUCCUCAUGGAUACUCUUGGGUUCGUAACCUGCUGAGCCACAAUGGGAACUCCCUUGUUUUUAUUUUUGGUAAUGUCUGAACCUUCUAUAACCUGCUGAUUUAUAUUAAAUCUAGUGGCAAAGGUUAUUACAAACACAGUAACCUACAUUUUUGAAUCCUCACAAGUUGAAGUGGCAGUCGAGACACCUGCCCUUGAUGAGUUUCACGUGGGCAUCAGGGCUGCUUUCAGUGCACGAGGGGCACUGUCAUAACUGCUCUGGUCUGUGGGCCAUGGUGAGUUCCCUGUGUUCACAGUGAGCACAGCAAGCCAGGCUUGGAGCAGGGGCCUGGCACCAACGAAGAGUUAAAUUCGGUUGAGAAAGAGGCUCCCCGCUGGGGGUGGCAGCUGCACUGCAGGCCUUCUCCUUUGCAGCCCAUUCUGAGGGACCCCUGGGGCCAUGGUGCUGGGACCCAAGGGCGCCACAAGCCCGGGGGCUGAGGCUCAGGGGGCAGCAAGCCCAGGAGCCAGCGGGGUUAAUAAAUACAACGCCGACUGAUUGUGUCCCCUGUUGCUAAGCCUAAAUUAACCAUGCUGGUGAGGUGGGGUUUGCUGUGGCAAGCCCCAGGCCCCUCCUGGGCUCUGAGGAGGGGAAGACGGGGUGGGGAGACCCAGCCCCCAGGACCCACCACCCCCAGGCCUUCCCCCCUCCAGCGGGGGCCAGCGGAAAAGGUGCUGCAGGAAGAGGACCGUUUCCUAUGGGGGUGGGUGGGGGUCUUUCUGUUUUCUCUCCCAAACAGGAAGCGGGCCCCAGAAGAGGCUGAAGUGCUGCCCUUUGACCCUUGGGAGCCGGGAGCCAGGCACUCACUGACAGCAGCCCCCAGAGCCGCCCCCAGCCUCCGGGCAGGCCUGCCACUCCCAGACACAGAGCAGACCGUCUGGGUCUGGCCCGGCGGGCUCCCCCAGACUCUGCGGCACCUCCGCCCUUCUGUCCGGUGGUGGCGGUGGCGGCGUCUGUCAACAGAAGCAUCUGCUCCGGCUCACAGGAUACCUUAA